GAAAGCCUGACGGAGCAACGCCGCGUGAGGGAGGAAGGCCUBUGGGUUGUAAACCYCUUUUCUCAGGGAAGAAGUUCUGACGGUACCUGAGGAAUCAGCAUCGGCUAACUCCGUGCCAGCAGCCGCGGUAAGACGGAGGAUGCAAGCGUUAUCCGGAAUUAUUGGGCGUAAAGCGUYCGUAGGCGGUUCAKAAAGUCUGCUGUUAAAGCUCACAGCUYAACUGUGRAUCGGCAGUGGAAACUUCUGRRCUAGAGARUGGUAGGGGUARAGGGAAUUCCUAGUGUAGCGGUGAAAUGCGUAGAUAUUAGGAAGAACACCAGUGGCGAAG
rnacentral:rRNA from 1 species